CUCAUAACACAGGUUUGUGGCUUCAGGUCUGAUUUUCUAGCGGUGCAUUGACAUUGUGUGACUCCUUUCCAGUGCCAACAUAUGAGAUCGCACAAUAAAAAUUACUAAGACUUAAACCCAAGAUCACUGGUAGGCAAUAGGGACUUUUAAAAACAAUGCAAAAGAAGAUUAUUAACAUAACCUUCUGUAGUUAUUUUUAAACUCAUAUUUAAA